UAUAAGCAAUUAUACCGCGAAACUGCGAAUGGCUCAUUAUAUAAGUUAUCGUUUAUUUGAUAGCACAUUUACCUACUUGGAUAACCGUGGUAAUUCUAGAGCUAAUACAUGCUAAAAAUCCCGACUUCGGAAGGGAUGUAUUUAUUAGAUUAAAAGCCAACGCCCUUCGGGGCUUCUUGGUGAUUCAUGAUAACUGGUCGAAUCGCAUGGCCUUGCGCGGCGAUGGUUCAUUCAAAUUUCUUCCUAUCAACUUUCGAUGCGAAGGUCUUGUCUUCGCAUGGUUGCAACGGGUAACGGAGGGUUAGGGCUCGACCCGGAGAAGGAGCCUGAGAAACGGCUACUACAUCCAAGGAAGGCAGCAGGCGCGCAAAUUACCCAAUCCCGACACGGGGAGGUAGUGACAAUAAAUACUGAUACAGGGCUCUUUUGGGUCUUGUAAUCGGAAUGAGUACAAUUUAAAUCCCUUAACGAGGAACAAUUGGAGGGCAAGUCUGGUGCCAGCAGCCGCGGUAAUUCCAGCUCCAAUAGCGUAUAUUAAAGUUGUUGUGGUUAAAAAGCUCGUAGUUGAACCUUGGGCCUGGCUGGCCGGUCCCCCUCACCGGGUGCACUGAUCCAGCCGGGCCUUUCCCUCUGUGGAACCUCAUGGUCUUCACUGACUGUGUUGGGGAAACAGGACUUUUACUUUGAAAAAUUAGAGUGCUCCAGGCAGGCCUAUGCUCGAAUACAUUAGCAUGGAAUAAUAGAAUAGGACGUGUGGUUCUAUUUUGUUGGUUUCUAGGACCGCCGUAAUGAUUAAUAGGGACAGUCGGGGCAUCAGUAUUCAAUUGUCAGAGGUGAAAUUCUUGGAUCUAUUGAAGACUAACUACUGCGAAAGCAUUUGCCAAGGAUGUUUUCAUUGAUAAGGAACGAAAGUUAGGGGAUCGAAGACGAUCAGAUACCGUCGUAGUCUUAACUAUAAACUAUGCCGACUAGGGAUCGGACGAUGUUAUCUUUUGACGCGUUCGGCACCUUUCGAGAAAUCAAAGUGCUUGGCUC
rnacentral:rRNA from 1 species